AUUCCAGCUCCAAUAGCGUAUAUUUAAGUUGCUGCAGUUAAAAAGCUCGUAGUUGGAUUUCGGGCGGUUGACGACGGUCCGCCUCUGGUGUGCACUGCCGUUCUUCCGCCUUUCUGUCGGGGACGUGCUCCUAGGCUUCAUUGUCUGGGACACGGGUUCGACGUGGUUACUUUGAGUAAAUUAGAGUGUUCAAAGCAGGCAUCGCCUUGAAUAUAUUAGCAUGGAAUAGCACGAUAGGACUCUGGCCUAUUUUGCUGGUCUGUAGGACCGGAGUAAUGAUUAAGAGGGACAGUCGGGGGCAUUCGUAUUUCAUUGUCAGAGGUGAAAUUCUUGGAUUUAUGAAAGACGAACUUCUGCGAAAGCAUUUGCCAAGGAUGUUUUCAUCA
rnacentral:rRNA from 1 species